CGGUGGGAACCAUGAAGCCACGUCUUCCGAAUGCCCCACAAGGGUGAAAGAGAACGAGGUGGCCAAAGUCAGGGUUGUACAGAGCAUUUCAUAUACAGCAGCUGUGAGAGGGGUUGAAUGGUGCACCAGGAAAGUCCAUGGUAGUUGUUAGGCCUACACUGCAGGAUGCAGGGGUCGCCUUUCACCAGCAAGAUCCAGACAUUUUAAAGGUUAAGAAGGUGGACUUUUUGGCAUUUAUAGCUAUGGUAAUUAAUGGCACUGCCAAGGUGGAGAGAAGGUCCAGGAAGAUAUAAAUCAUAGUGAUUGCGACAGGGCGGUUCCUGGGGCUAAAAGAUUUCUCAGCGAAGGAGUUACAUGGAAUAUUGGCACAAGCCGUACCACACUCUCGUCAUUGAGCCUGAAAAUGGAGAUAUGGAGAACUAAAAGCAUGAAUAAGUAAGAGUUUUGUUUGUUUUGGCAAUGUACUAUUUUUAUUAGGGUGGAGUAAGUUAGUUUCACUAUUACGUAUGGAUAUAUAUAUAUAUUUUUUUCAAACCGUCUAGUUGGUGGCGGCAAAAAAGCUUUUUGGAUGAAGUCCGCCAUAAAACCCACAGAAGAAGAAGAAACAGUGUAUAUAUAUAUAUAUUGAACUGUGGUGGUCUGACAAUGGCGUUGGCGUCUGAUUGUUGUCCUAGUUACAAUCUGGUUCCUGUCCUGCCUGCCUUCCAGCUGCCUGCCUUCCAGCUGCCUGCCUUCCAGCUGCCUGCCUUCCAGCUGCCUGCCUUCCAGACAGCCGAACUCAGUGCCAUCCUCGGUAUGUCCGGUAUUCGAUGGAGAGUCCUUAUUCAUAAAAAUUGUUACCCAGUGUCCUGAGUCUGAGAUCAGUUUACGCACCCAGCGAAAAGGCAGUGUGUUCACGUAUGACAAGGAGAAGGACUUGUGUACUGUGGAUCCACGUUAUCGGGACAGGAUCCAGAUGAGGAAUGACUCCAACGUCCGUGUUUUUGAAUUUCGCAAUGUAACCAAAGAAGAUAUGGAUGAAAUAUAUGUGAUCUAUGCUUCCAAUACACCCAUCAGAUAUU